UCCGUUUGAUCCUGGCGGAGGUCACUGCUAUCGGUGUUCGUCUAAGCCAUGCGAGUCAUAUGUUCUUCGUGAACAUGGCGCACUGCUCAGUAACACGUGGAUAACCUGCCCUUGGGUCUGGCAUAACCCCGGGAAACUGGGGAUAAUACCGGAUAACGCAUAUAUGCUGGAAUUCUUUAUGCGUGAAAUGGAUUCGUCUGCCCAAGGAUGGGUCUGCGGCCUAUCAGGUAGUAGUGGGUGUAAUGUACCUACUAGCCGACGACGGGUACGGGUUGUGAGAGCAAGAGCCCGGAGAUGGAUUCUGAGACAUGAAUCCAGGCCCUACGGGGCGCAGCAGGCGCGAAAACUUUACAAUGCGGGAAACCGUGAUAAGGCGACACCGAGUGCCAGCAUUAUAUGCUGGCUGUCCGGGUGUGUAAAAUACACCUGUUAGCAAGGGCCGGGCAAGACCGGUGCCAGCCGCCGCGGUAACACCGGCGGCCCGAGUGGUGAUCGUGUUUAUUGGGUCUAAAGGGUCCGUAGCCGGUUUGGUCAGUCCUCCGGGAAAUCUGACGGCUUAACCGUUAGGCUUUCGGGGGAUACUGCCAGACUUGGAACCGGGAGAGGUAAGAGGUACUACAGGGGUAGGAGUGAAAUCUUGUAAUCCCUGUGGGACCACCUGUGGCGAAGGCGUCUUACCAGAACGGGUUCGACGGUGAGGGACGAAAGCUGGGGGCACGAACCGGAUUAGAUACCCGGGUAGUCCCAGCCGUAAACGAUGCUCGCUAGGUGUCAGGCAUGGCGCGACCGUGUCUGGUGCCGCAGGGAAGCCGUGAAGCGAGCCACCUGGGAAGUACGGCCGCAAGGCUGAAACUUAAAGGAAUUGGCGGGGGAGCACAACAACGGGUGGAGCCUGCGGUUUAAUUGGACUCAACGCCGGACAACUCACCGGGGGCGACAGCAAUAUGUAGGUCAGGCUGAAGACCUUGCCUGAAUCGCUGAGAGGAGGUGCAUGGCCGUCGCCAGUUCGUACUGUGAAGCAUCCUGUUAAGUCAGGCAACGAGCGAGACCCA
rnacentral:rRNA from 1 species